UGGCCAUAAUAUGUUGAAAACACCGAUUCCUGUACGAUUCUCAAAGUCAAGCAAUAUCGAGCCAGGUCAGUACCCAGAUGGGUGACCGCUUGAGAAUACCAGGUGCUA